rnacentral:lncRNA from 1 species
CGAGCACCGGCGUCUAAAGGGUGCGUCCCUCGAGAGCCAAAUAUAGCACCCAUGGUCUCGCGCACUUGGCGAAAUUAUGGCGUAGCGACGCUACUUAUCGCUCCAAGUGCCGUACUUGAAAUGCAUUUGAGAAAUCUUCUUUUUGGAGUCUCUGAAAAGCCCUUUCUGUGCGUCUUGAGGCACAAGCGCGGAAAAGGAGCGAAUUUCUUUUUCUUGAUGGGUGUUGCUCUUUGUCACAAGAUUCCAAUAACUGUUUUAAUUGCGAAGCUGACAGAAAGGGAUGAUAAUAUAAUAACCAAAAUAUAACAAAAAUCAAGUUGUUGUUGUUUGUGAUAUCGAAGGAAAGGAGAAUCAGAGACUGAGAGUUCCGAACUGAAGGAAAUCUGUCUUUGAACUUGGGCGACUCCCACAUCAAGACCUACGAUUCCCAGUGGAAAACUGCACUGGCGGUGAAGUCAUCUGAAGAAUCAGGUACUUUUUAAAUAAAUAACUUUAUUUUUAUAAAUCAUUUAUACUUAUAAACCCAAUUUACACUAUAACACUAGUAUUAUACUUAUAUACGUAAAAACCAGCAUUGCGCUUAUACAAUAUACAUUUAAUAUCACCGCUGGGAGCGACUUUUAUUUCCAAUGACGAAUUACAGUUUAAGCGUUCUUUAUGAAUAAAAGUUGUUGUUAUUAUUAAGCAACGCACUCUUACUUGAUGGGUGUGUAGUGGCCCAUCUGUUUUAUUUCGCUUCAUCGCCGUGCUUUCCAGCGCAGCAGCGAACUCGCUGAAAAUGGACGCUGGGGAGGGGAGCUGUGUUGUGGUUCACAGCGGUCCGGUCCCGUGAGAGCGGCGAGUCUAAUCCAAAUGCGCAAAGGAAGCGCUCGUUGCUCGGGUGUCCACUAGGGUGCGCUCAAGGAUCGCGGACCGGGAAAAAAAAACACCUUUUUUUUUCAUUCCAGGAUAAAACUUAGCCCCCGAGAUGCUCCUGAGCCCGCGAGGGACCCCGUGUUUCCUCCUGCUGCUGGUUCUGUUCGGACAUGGGAACGGGCAAAACGCAGCCACGGGUCCUCCGGCCGGGGAGGGGGGCCUGCCCGCCCCGCGACAGGACGGCGCCGGACACUCGCUCUUGGGCCUGGCGCUGCUGGUGGUCACCGUGGCGCUGUCGGGCAGCGCCUACGUCUGCGUGCUACGUUACAUCUGCCCCGACUGCCGCCUGCCCGGCGCCGUGGGGCCGGAAGAGGAGACCCUCACUGACCACGUGUAGUCGGGACUGAUCGCAGCUCUGCUGAGAGUCCGCGACGGGCCGGAUGCUCAGUGUCUCGGGAGGGUCCAGCGACCCCACCCUGCGAGCACCUCAGAUAAUGGGCUCUGUUGCGUUCGUGCGUGCGUUCAUCAGAAGUUUUUUUUUUUCUUAACGGGCUUAAGAUCCCGCCUUUCGUUCUCUGCUGCCCGCGCCUUGAGGAGGGAGAUGUGUCCGUGAGUCUCUUGUCCCUGAUUCUUGAAGGGCCUCCUGUGAUUUUCGGACGUGGACUAGCUCUGGGGAAGACAGAAACGGCUUGUCCAUCAGUAUUCAUGUUUGCGCUCCGCGUCGGAAGGCUCUUGACUCCAUAGGCUGUCUGUUUCUCCUCUGCUGUAACUGCCGCUAAUAAACGCCUAUAAGCAGCCAGUAACUGGGGACUCCAGCUGUAAAUAAUAUUGUAACAAGGGGCCUCCCUGUGGAAAGCUUAUGAGAACAACAGAACAACUGGCCCAGGGUUUGAGUGUGUGAAGUUUAACGUAACACUGGAAUACCACAGGACCUCAGUGUGUGUUCUGCUGCAGAAUGUGCUUGUAAGGCGCCUGCAGUUCAUCAGGAGUGUAGUCAUAUAAUAAGCCUUCAUGGCUCUAUGAAUGGGGGGCCUGUUGGCACGGUGGCUAGCACUGUUGCUUCGCAGUGCUGGGGCCCUGGGCUCUCUUCCUGGGGCGCUGUGUGUGUGGAGUUUGGAUGUCUCCUCCCGGUGCUCCUGUUUCCACCCACAGUCCAGAGACAUACUGGUAGGUUCACUGGGUUUUGGGAAGACUGGCGUGUGUGUUGGUGUCGGUCUGCCCUGUGAUGGACUGGCGUCCUGUCCAGGGGGUACCCUGCCUUGUGCCCGCUGCUUGCCAGUAUAGACUCUGGCUCCCCUCUGCGACCCUGUGUUGGACAAAGCCGUUAAAAAUGGCUUCACAAGAGUGAACAACAAGAUUGUAUAGCGCAGGGCAGACACACAAACACACUCGCACCAGGGCCGGUUUUCCCAGAAGCCAGUUAACCCACCAGCAUGUCUUUAGACUGGGGGGGGUGGGGGUGGAACAAGAGCUUCUGGAGAAAACCCAGGCAAACAUGAGAGGAACAUGCAAACUCCACACAGACAGUUCUGGAAUUGAACCCAGGUCCCCAGGGCUGCAAGGCUGCGAUGCCAGCCCAAUAUACAAAUGCCCACCUCUGAAAAUUAGUGAGUAAACGCCAGUAGAGGUCACUUUGGAUAAAAGCUAACAAAGAAAUAAAUGGGGUUUAAGUGGAUGACCCGUGUGCAGGUGUGGAAGGUGGGCAGUCUGAUCCCCGGGGUGGUCCAGUGACGCUGGUGAGUGGAGAAGGGGGAUCAGGCAGGGGUCCGGGCCGCCUGCUGGGAGCAGAGAGGGGGAGUGGGGGGGUGCAGGGAGAGACGGGCAGGAGCAGGGCCCGGCAAGGUCUCGGCGCGUGAACCAGAUCCCAGCGAGAAGCGCGCAGCAGUGAAACGUUGUGCUGGCCACCAGUCUUUCCCUUCGGGCCAUUUCUUUUACUGGGGAGGGUGUGCCUUGCGCACGCGGUUCACCAGUUCUAAGUGAACUCGCUGGUCCAGUCCUCUCCCUCCACUCUCACGGGAUAUUGGUGAGAAAACCUUCACAAACAUAGACUGAAAUUUCUGUUUUCAUUAUACUACUAGAUCCUGGCCAGAGCAACAUUAUAAAUAAAGGGGUUAAACA